rnacentral:rRNA from 1 species
CGCGUAGGCGGGCUGCCAAGUCAGUGGUGAAAUCUUUCAGCUCAACUGGAAAAGUGCCGCUGAUACUGGCAGUCUCGAGGGAGGUAGGGGUCGAUGGAACUAAUGGUGGAGCGGUGAAAUGCGUAGAUAUCAUUAGGAACGCCGGUGGCGAAAGCGAUCGACUGGACCUCUUCUGACGCUGAGGCGCGAAAGCCAGGGGAGCAAACG